rnacentral:lncRNA from 1 species
GGGACAUCACAAAACCAACAGUGGCCAGUGCUGCUCUAGAGUUCAAGUGAACACAGGAGGGUCUCUGCAGCACCAUUUCUUCCAUUUUGGAAAAUUGGCUGGAAUGGUACCAUCCACUGAACAUUCCCAAAUUUGCAAUCAAAGAGACUUGCAUACAGGCGAACUCACCUGGAACCUGA